rnacentral:rRNA from 1 species
CCUACGGGAGGCAGCAGUGGGGAAUAUUGCACAAUGGGCGGAACCCUGAUGCAGCGACGCCGCGUGGGUGAAGGAGCGUUUCGGCGCUUAAAGCCCUUUCGGCCGGGAAGAAGAUGACGGUACCUGACCAAGAAGCCCCGGCUAACUACGUGCCAGCAGCCGCGGUCAUACGUAGGGGGCCAGCGUUAUCCGGAUUUACUGGGUGUAAAGGGGGCGCAGACGGUAAUGCAAGCCAGGAGGGAAAGCCCGGGGCCCAACCCCGGGACCGCUGUUGGAACUGCAUGGCUGGAGUAGAGGAGGGGCAGGCGGAAUGCCUGGUGUAGCGGUGAAAUGCGUAGAUAUCAGGCGGAACACCGGUGGCGAAGGCGGCCUGCCGGACUGCGACUGACGUUGAGGCACGAAGGCGUGGGGAGCAAACAGGAUUAGAUACCCUGGUAGUC